AUACUCCUCCCGAUUUAAGCGUCAGUGCCAUGACAACAAGGCGAUGGCUUCCAGAGAGAGUCGAAUGUGAUUUUUUUUUAGGAGUUAGCGAGGAGUAGCAAACCUGCGGGCUUGUCAGACGCCUCUGUGAAAACAAGAUGUCUCUAUUCAAGGCGCGGGAUUGGUGGUCGGCAACUCUCGGCGAAGGCGAGGAGUUCGACCAAGGCUGCAUCUGCGUUGGAGAUGUGGACAACAGCGGCACAGGACAUGACAAGGUGGUGGUAGGCAGCUACAUGGGCAUGCUGCGGAUAUUCUCCCCGCACUCCUCCAAAGCCGCCGAAGGAGCACAAAGCUCGGCCGAAGCGCAGCUUCUGGAGGUGCACCUCCAGAACGCCAUCAUCCAGGUGGAGCUGGGGAAGUUUGUCUCGUGUUCGGAUCUUCUCCACCUGGCCGUCCUUCACCCCAGGAAGCUGUCCGUCUACUCCGUCCUGGGCACAACGGGGAACGUGGGCCACGGCGACCAGUACCAGAUCAAACUGGUCUACGAGCACAACCUGCAAAGGACCGCCUGCAACAUGACAUACGGAACCUUUGGAGGCGUAACAGGUCACCACUCGCUUUGCAUCCAAUCCAUGGACGGCAUGCUGAUGUUCUUCGAGCAGGACAGUUACUCCUUCGGAAGGUUCCUCCCGGGCUUCCUUCUUCCGGGCCCUCUGUGCUACAACCCGCGAACGGACAGCUUCCUCACAGUGUCCUCUGCCCGCCAGCUGGAGAGCUACAAGUACGAAACACUUGCCGUCGCCACGGAAGCGGAAAGCCGCCAAGACCCCGAGCAGCCCCUCAAGACGGGCAGCAAGAGGCUGACCCCUGACUGGACGUUGAUUCUAGGCGAGCAAGCCCUGGACAUCUCCGUGCCGUGCUUCUCCCACUCGGCCAUGUUCAUCUUCGUCCUGGGCGAGCGGAACCUUUAUUGCUUGCGAGACAAUGGGCUUAUUUACUUCAUGAAGAAGUUGGAGUUCAACCCCAGCUGCUUCUUGCCGUAUGCCUCAUUGAGCAAUGGCAGCACCAACCUGUUGCUAGGCAACCACACCAACAUGCUGCUGGUGUACCAGGACGUCACGCUCAAGUGGGCUGCCCAGCUCGCUUUCGUGCCCGUGGCGCUUCGGGUCGCCAACUUCCCGGAUCUGAAGGGCGCCGUGGUGAGCCUGAGUUGGGACGGCCACCUGCUGUGCUCCUACAUGGGCACCGACCCGUCCUUCUUCUCCACGCCCAAGGUGGACGCCCGCGAGGUGGACUACGAGCAGGCUGACGCCGAGAUGAAGCAGCUGUACAAGUUCAUCAGGGAGGCCAGCAGGACGCAAGACAUUCUACCAAAAGGUGAAAAUGAAGAGAACGUGACAGUGACAGCGUGCGUGUCUUCAAACAUGGACAUCCCCUCGCAAGCUUUGAUCCAAGACAUGGCUGGCUUUCCUGUUCCUUCGGUGAACGUAAAGGUGACGGUGAAAGCCAACAGCGUGCUGGCUUCUUCCAGACUAAUCGUCGGAGUUCAACCUCCGCUUGCCGUCACUCAGGACCAGUUUGUCCUCGAACCUUUAGGUGUGGGCUCGUCCACCUCCGUGGUCUUUUCAGCCUUCCUGAACGGUCGCUACCCACCUGCCGACCUCAGCGGCGACAUCACCCUGUCUUACAGCACGCCCACAGAGUUCAACCCCAAAGGAGUCCCUCAUGUCCACCAAAGCCAGUUCAAACUUCCUCUCGCCCUCGUCUGUACGUCAUCUUCUCCCAGCAAGAGCAGCGUCUUCAAAAUCACCGUCGACACCAACCAGCCGCCCGUAGACCUGGCCACCAUCUUUCCUGAGUUCGCGGCCCAGUCGGAAGAUAACGAGGGGAACGGUUUGGCUCUCCGCUUCUUGCCUGGUGGCGUGGUCACCGUGCUGGCUUCAAAGACCUCCCAGCGCUAUCGCAUCCAGAGCGACGCAUUCGAGGACAUGUGGCUGGUGACCAACGAGCUCGUCCACAGAGUCGACCAUCACUUCUCCGCGUUAGGAGUGGACGACUUCAAGAAGAGCUUCAGCGGACCACCGCCCCUCAAAGACUACUUCCUGUCCAUUGACCACCACUUCCAGCUUCGCGUCAGCGCUCAAAAGUACCAGGACCUCCUUUCUGAACGGGCCGCCCAGUUCCGAGCCAUCCAGCGGCGCCUGCUGACCCGCUUUAAAGACAAAACUCCGGCGCCGCUGCAGAACCUCGACACCCUGUUAGACGCCACCUAUACCCAGGUCAUGUCACUAGCAGAGGCGGCGGAGGAAAACGCGUGCCAGCUGGAGGAGGCUUUCGUGCGGCUGAGGAGCUCCACGCAGCUACUGGUUCUGCUGCUGUCGCUGUGGCAGGGCCUGACGCCCGAGCAGAGCAACAUCUUGGAGGCUAGCAUGCUGCCUCUGCUGCAGGACACGCCACAGUUGGGCUGGGAGGAGUGCUGCGACGCGGCGGUGUCCCACCUUCUGCGGACGUGCUUGUCUCGCAGUCCCAAGGAGCAGGCCACCACGCUGGCUCAGGCCGGCGGGGCCGUGCUAACUCUGCCCCAGGAUACGACGCGCCUCAAGAAGCACAUCACGCUGCUGUGCGAGCGACUGGCCAAAGGGGGACGCCUCACGCUGGCCUCAGAGGCCAACGUGCAGGUCCCUGCGCAGGUUCAAAACUUGGCUGCCCCUGGCGGCGGCAGCGUAGAGCCCAUCGCCGAGCUAGCGGGAGACGAGACGGCGGAGCCUGAGGACGCCACCAAGUUCAUCAAGAAGAAAUCAUCUUCAAAGAAAGUCAAGAAAGAUAAAGACCCCAAAAAAGUCUCCAGCGAGCCAUCGGAGGGCGCCGUGACAGAAGAAGCGACGUCGACCGAGGUGAAGAAGAAAGAGUCGUCCAAGGACAGAGCCAGGAAGGAGGAGGCCAAGACCAAGGAAGCUAAAAAGGAGACGUCGUCGUCCUCCUCCUCCGCCAAGGAGAAGAAGGAGGCGGGCAAGGAGGCGGGAGACAAAAAAGUCACGAAGAAGACAUCGACGGGAAAGGUCAAAGAGAGGAAGAAGGAAGUUGAGACCGGAGCUGGGGAGGCCUGAAAAGUACAAACUUGAAGGGAGAAUCCAACCCUACCGUGAGGCAGACACGCGAACCACUAAGCCACUGUACAUAUUGAAGCAUUUUCACUUGACGCUCUUUUGGGUUGUUUUUUUUUUUUUUUUUCAAUUCAUUGGCAGCCAUUGACAGGGAUAGAUUAGAUGUCUAAAUCAAUUUCGACUGGACUUGAAUUUGAUGUCUAGUGGGGAUUUAAAAUAGGGCUGUCAAAAUUAUCGCGUUAGCGGUAAUUCAUUUUUUAAUUAAUCACGUUAAAAUAUUUGACGCAAUUAACGCACGUGCCCCACUCAAACAGAUUAAAAUGAAAGCACAGUGUAAUGUCCACUUGUUACCUUUUUUUGGGGGGUGUUUGGCGUCCUCUGCUGGCGCUUGGGUCCAACUGAUUUUAUGGGUUAGUACCAAGAGUGAGCAUGGUGUAAUUAUUGACAUCAACAAUGGCGGGCUACUAGUUUAUUUUUUGAUUGAAAACUUUACAAAUUUUAUUAGAACGAAAACAUUAAGAGGGGUUUUAACAUAAAAAUUCUAUAAGUUGUAUUAGCAUUUAUCUUUAAGAACUACAAGUCUUUCUAUCCAUGGAUCACUUUAACAGAAUUUUAAUCAUGUUAAUGCCAUCUUGUUGAUUUAUUGUUAUAAUAAACAAAUACAGUACUAAUGCACUGUAUAUAUUCAUCUUGUGGCUUACCUUUCCAUUCCAACAAUAAUUUACAGAAAAAUAUGGCAUAUUUUAUCGGUGGUUUGAAUUGCGAUUAAUUAAUUUUUUUAGCUGUAAUUAACUCGAUUCAAAAUUUUAAUCGUUUGACAGCCCUAAUUUAAAUUAGAAGCAAUAGAAUGACGUCUAUGACCGUCAAUGGCUGAAAAAGUUCACGAUGUAAUCUCAGGUGAAGAUUUCUUUGCAAUGAUUUUGUUGGUUAGUUGGCAAACAUGAAUACUUGCAAAUAAAGAAAGAGGUGAGAAUCCAAA